CUUCUCAUGGUGUAGUGGUAAAGCGCCUGUCUAGUAAAUAGGAGUCGAGAGUUCGAGUUUCACCGAGAGGA
rnacentral:tRNA from 1 species